rnacentral:ncRNA from 10 species
UUUGACCUCGGAUCAG